ensembl:lincRNA
AAUGUCGGUCUCUUCCACCUCCCAAUUCCCCAAACCCAGACGACUCCUCCCCGCCCCGCCCCGCCCUCCUCCUUCCCCUCCUACUGCCCCCCCAGGUGCCCCGGGCCCGCCCCAUCCCGGGCGGGGCGCAUAGGUGCGGAGAAGUGGCGGGGUCACCGCCCAGCGUCCCCUCCACCCUUCUCCGCGGAAGCCCAGCGGAUCCAGGGUCAGGAUGCGGGUCGCCAGCGUCCCGGGCCUCGGGCCCACCCUGCUCUCGCCCUGCUGCCCACGCUGCUGUCCGGCCUCCUCUGCACGCGCGCUUUGGAGAUACCAGAGGGAAAAGUCAGCGGCCACCAAUGCCAUGAAUGUUGUGCAGUUCUGACCAGGUGCCCUGAAGAACUGGUGCGGAAGACAGAGGGGAAGCUGAGGCUGAGGCUAAGGCUGAGGCCGGAGGAUGGAAAGCUCAGGACCAGAUCCUACCCCGGAGGAUUCCGAUGCUGUGAGAACAGGUGUUGCCAGGGAGAUGAAGCCUCCGGCCUCUUCAGGGUUUUCCUCCUCAUCUGCAUCUUCAUCCUGUCUGUGUUGGGCUGCUUCAGCCUGGGCAGGCACUGCUGUGUGAACCGCUGUCAAACAAUGGUGGGCCCCACAGGGGGUCACCAGCAGCCCCAAAGCCCAGCCACCUUCGGGGCACCCCCAUCCUACAGCGAGGUGGUUGGGAAGCCCACCUUGUCCCUCUCUCCCACGGAGCCCCCGCCUCCCUACAGCCUCAGGCCUGAAGGCCACACUGGCACGGAGAGGGACGUCAACAACCCGGCCUCUGACCUGGAGCCUCCCUGGAGACCCCCAGAGCAAGCUGGCGAUGGCUGGGAUUCCUGCACUGUCCCCUGACACCCGGCCACGGCACUCGCUUCUUGGAUUUAACUUACUGCUUUUCUUACUCCUGUUCCUCCCGGCCUCUACUUAUCCUGGGGCCAGGACAGGCUUAAAGGGACUGUACCUGUCCCUCCUCCAAGUUAAAGGCUGCUGGAGGGACCGGCAGUAUGUGAGCUGCUCGGUAGGGUAGACAGCGGCCUGUCACUGGAGGUAUACAAGUCAGGACUGGACAUCUAGCUUGGGAUAUUACGAAGGCUUUCUCUACCCUGCUGUGGUUUUUUUUCCUUUUUGAGGGGGGGAUUCUUUUUGUCUUUUUGAGACAGGGUCUCACUAUGCAGUUCAGCCUGGCCUUGAGCUCACUUUGUAGCCCAUGUUGGUCUCGAACUCACAACAAUCCUCCUGCCUCAGCCUCAUUGUGAUCCUUAUUUACACUUUUGGUUUCUUGUACCAGAGAAAUGAUAUAUUUAUUUAUUUCACUUAAGAGUGUGAUUUCGAGGUACAGCCAUUUUCCUAGAAAUGUCUCAAGCGUAUCCUUCUUUAUGGCAGAGUAGUACUCUAUUGUAAAAAAAAAAAUCUUUUUUUUUUUUUUUUAACCGGUACCGGGGAUUAAACUCACAACCACCUGCUCACAAGACGGGUGCUUAUGCUGCUGAGCUAAAUCCUCAGCCCCAAAACACAUCUUCUUUAUCCAUUCAUUGGUUGAUGGACAUUUGGGCUGUUCGCAACAUUUAGGUAUCACAAAUUGUACUGCUAUAAACAAGGGUGUGCAUGAAUCACUGUGGCACAAUGCUUGUAAUUCUUCCAAGAAGAUACCAAGAAGGGAAAUAGCUGGGUCACAUGGAACCUCUGGUUGUAGUUUUUUGAGGACUCACCCCACCGAUUUCUACCAUAGUUGCACCAGUCUACACUCUCACCAACAGUGGAGAAGGGCUCCUUUCUCCCCGCAGCCCUGCCAGCGUUUGUUAUUGGUUGAUUUCUCAGUAAGGACUAUUUUUUCUGGAGUGAAAUGGAAUCUCAGCCUUGUUUUAAUUUGUACCUCUUGAAUGAGCACUGAGAUUGAAUGUUUUUUCAUACGUUUAUUUGCCUUUUUUUUUUUUUUUUUUGUCUUUUUUGUUUUUUUUUUUAUCGGUACCAGGGAUCGAACUCACAACUGCCUGCUUGCAAGGCAGGCAUUUAUGCCGCUGAGCUAAAUCCCCAGCCCCCUUAUUUGCCUUUUCUACUUCUUCAUCUGAGAAGUGUCUCGUCAUUUCAGAGGCCCAGUUUUGGAUUGGGUCUUUACGUUUGGUGGAGGGGUUAAAUUCUUUAUGUAUGCUUUGUUGCUAGGUGUGAUAGCACAUGUGUGUGAUAGCACUCUGGAGGCUGAGACAGGAGGAUUCCUAUGAGUUCAAGGCCAGUCUGAAUUACGGAGCAUGAACCUGUCUCAAAAAGAAAGAAACAAGGAAGGAAGGACGGACAAAUAGAGUAGCCACUCCUUUUUUCCAGUUUCUAUCCUUUGACUGUCAGUAUAUGAAUUUCUUUUGUAAUUAAAUGUGUUUUUUUCUAUGCAGCAUAUUAUUAGAUUGUGCAUUUUUGUUUCUUUGUUUUGUUUUUGCUUCUUGAUUCACUCGUCCAGUCUGUUAAAGCAAUACUUUAUAAU